ACAAGCAGCGGCAAGGUUGAUGAUCAUAAUUUUGCGAAGCAAAAUUAUUGAGGGCUGAUUACAUGGCACGAAUUGCAGGGGUUAAUAUUCCCGAU
rnacentral:misc_RNA from 1 species